rnacentral:rRNA from 1 species
UACGUAGGUGGCAAGCGUUGUCCGGAUUUAUUGGGUUUAAAGGGUGCGUAGGCGGCCCUGUAAGUCAGUGGUGAAAUACUCUAGCUUAACUAGAGGGGCGCCAAUGAUACUGCAGGGCUUGAGUACAGAUGAGGUAGGCGGAAUUGACGGUGUAGCGGUGAAAUGCAUAGAUAUCGUCAAGAACACCGAUAGCGAAGGCAGCUUACUGGGCUGUAACUGACGCUGAUGCACGAAAGUGUGGGGAUCAAACAGG